GCAGUAACGUGAUCACGCAGUAAUGUUGUGAUCAAGCGUAGCAAUGGCGCUGGGGUCGCGAUUGCUGCGCGUUUGCGCUCGGAUGUUUGCAAUGGUAGUUAUUUAAGUUCCAAGCUCAGAAUACUCGAGCUGAUGAAGUGUACGACAUAUUGAUAGCAGCUGACUUGGUCAUCCGUUGGAAGAGCGUGCAUUCUUUGCUAACUCAAGCAGUUCUCUGCAAGAUUAUCGCCUUGCAGCUCUGAACGAGGUCCGAGAAGAAACGAGACCGGCGAACGAGCAAGUCGCCUGCAAGACAAUCAUUGCAGUUCAAUGGAAAAGAAUAUGUUAUUUCAUCAUCAAGAGUCCUCGGAUGGUUUUCCACUGACACCAAUUCCGGUGUGCCAGGUGCGAGAGGCUUCAAUCCAUGGUGUGUGGAGUCGUCCUUGAGCCCCUGCCUCGGCGCCGGGUCUUCAUGAAGGCCAUUAUGUACCUGGCCGUGAUGCAUCGGCGCACUAUGCAGAGCGGAUGGCGCUAGGGCGUACCAUCGUCAUCGCCGAGCCGGUCGUCUUCAUCAUCUCCGUACCACCGUCAUCUUCGAGCCGGUCGUCUUCGUCAUCUCCGUACCACCGUCAUCUCCGAGCCGGUCGUCUUCGUCAUCUCCGUACCACCGUCAUCUCCGAGCCGGUCGUCUUCGCCAUCUCCGCAACACCGUCAUCUCCGAGCCGGUCGUCUUCGCCAUCUCCGCACCACCGUCAUCUCCGAGCCGGUCAUCUCCGUCAUCUCCGUACCACCGUCAUCUCCGAGCCGGUCGUAUUCGUCAUCUCCGUACCACCGUCAUCUCCGAGCCGGUCGUCUUCGUCAUCUCCGUACCACCGUCAUCUCCGAGCCGGUCGUAUUCGUCAUCUCCGUACCGCCGUCAUCUCCGAGCCGGUCGUCUUCGUCAUCUCCAUUCCACCGUCAUCUCCGAGCCGGCCGUCUUCGUCAUCUCCGUACCACCGUCAUCUCCGAGCCGAUCGUCUCCGUCAUCUCCGUACCCCCGUCAUCUCCGAGCCCUACCGUCUGCGCCGGGCCGACAUGUACGCUCCCCCCGGCCCUGCUAGAUUUUGACCUGUAUCACUCGCCUGGUAUGUUCGUGUUGUGUGUUUGAUGACUAUGGUUUGCGUUGUAUUGACUUGUGUGACUCACACCUAAGUUUACCACGUUUUAUGUUUCCCACGGAAUAUCGCAAUAGUCGCAAGUCAAUUGUGGGGGCCUCAAUAAAAGUAUGCCCGUGUCACGUGGCAUUCUCAGUGCGAAUAUCGAAAUACCUAGAAUUUAAUGAGUUACUCAAACUGAGCGGUCGUUAUGCUUUCAAACAAAUUCGAGGCCGCCCACAAUCCCGUUCGAGGGCAAUCGAUUCUUAACAACAUCAUGUAACGGUCUUGUAUUUACAUACACCUCUGCAUUGUGUACAAGAUCACUGUUCAGCAUCCACUCACGGGGAGGUGUGCUUCACGAAGGCAAGGUAUCGAAGCUCACAACGUGCCGACACA